rnacentral:lncRNA from 1 species
UAAAAUAAAUGACAUAAUUUAUUGAACAAAAUAAAUGAACCUUAAUCAAAACAAAACAAUUAAUUAAGAAAAAAACUACUACAAUAAAUGAGGUAUAUCAACUGCUAAAACAGGUAUAUCCACUACUACAGAUAUAAUCACUCCUGAAAUCCUUCGACGAUUUUUUAUUUUUUUUACCCAAAAAAAAUACGAUGGACGUAACUUCUUCGAACGAUGACAAUCGUCGAAAAAUCCAUGGACUUCCUCCAUAUCCUCUCAGAAGAUCGGGAGUCCAAUAGUAUCAAUUAAAACGAUCAUCGAACGUUCUGAGUAGGAAUAGGCGAUGAAGGUUUAAGACUCUCUCCUUGGGCGACGGAUGAUAGCACUGAUGACGGAGAAGAUGGGAGUAUUGUCGGUUAGGGUUGGAAACUCGGAUGGAAACCAAAAUCAGAGAAAAAUAAGAUUGUUAACCUUAUUUCGACGACCGAGCAUCAUUGCGUUGCAACCACUAUAAUUUCGA